rnacentral:lncRNA from 1 species
CCCCAGCCAAAUAUAACUUCAUCUUCUUCCCAAACAUCAUACCCACUCCACUGCCGCCCUCCACCUUACCAACCACCGCCUAAAACGUUCAUUUUCAGGGUGCCUGCCCAGUCCGUCAAUGAAAACAAUGUCCCGGAGGAGGUCAAACACAAAGAGGAACAUUAUUGGCGUUCCACAAGACGACAACCCUAAAUUGCAUCAUUCAUUCUAAAAAUUCAAAAUCUUAAGAAAAAAUUGCUCUGAAUUUAUUCUUCUUGGCGAUUCUUUUUUGGCCUCAUUGACUAUUGCCAUCUCAGGAGGCCCAUUCACAAGGCUCAAAUCUGGCUCUGAGCGUGUCUCUGUUUCCAUUGAUAUCUACAAUCAAGGAUUCGCGUGUCGUCAAAUUCCAUCUUUUUUAUAGUUUUGCUUAGAUCUGCCAUUAUUUUUUUAUUUUCCUACUAUAGAUAUUUUUUUAAUUGUUUGAUUUGGAAUUUGGAUUGAUUCUGUGUUUUAUAGUUGACGAAUUUGAUUGUGAUUAUUGGAUUCAAAGUUUUGUUGUUUAAUUAAUUUUUAUUCCUUUUAUGAUAAUUAAUGACUUAGUGGGAGAAAUUGAGCUCCCGUAAAUGCCUUCCGAGCAAUUGACCUG